AUGGUGAACCCGCCGGAGCUCUACCACCGGAUCCUCGACGUCCCCAGGGGCACCUCCUCGCAGGGGCUCCGCGCCGCCUACAAGGGCCUCGCCAGGAAAUGGCACCCCGACAAGCACCCGCCGACCUCCAAGCCCGAGGCCGAGGCGUGCUUCAAGGCCAUCACCGAGGCCUACAAGGCGCUCCUGGACCAGCAGGAGAACCGGGCGGUCUUCGGGGCGUGCAACGACGACCGGGCGGCCAAGAUGUUCGGGACCUUCGGCGCCGGUUGCGGCAGGGCCGGCGCGCGCAUGGCGAGGUCGCGCAGCGACGACUUCUGCAUGCGGAGUGCGCCCGCCACGCCGGCCAGGGAGUUCACCAAGGUCUACAGCUCCGGCAACACGGGCGGCCGCCGCGCCUUCGCCGAGUUCUCCAGCUCCAUCAUGCGCAAGGCGCCGCCGCUGGAGCGCGCCCUCGAGUGCAUGCUCGAGGAGCUCUGUCGCGGCUGCAAGAAGCAGGUCGAGUUCACCCGCGAUGUCGUCACCAAGAACGAGUACUGCCACUCACUCGCCGCUUCCUUCUUCCUCCACCGAUUGAAACCUCGCCUGAAUUCCUCAAGAAAACGAAAUAUCAAUUCACGCGGAACAGGCCUGAUGUGA
rnacentral:rRNA from 1 species